rnacentral:misc_RNA from 1 species
CUGUAUCUGAAAUUAUCAUAAUAUCUGUCUUUCAUCAAUCUUGCAUACUGUCUAGGUCUUCGUUCCUUUUCGCUUGCCCGUUCCGCUCUUGUUUUGCCAAGCGAACCUUAUAACUUACACAAAGAACUCUGCCUUUGACGCGUGCAGGAUUCGGCCCUUCCUCCGACCGGUCUUUUGUGACAAUGACCUCCAAUUACAUUCACUUGAGUGAGGUGGAGAAGCACAUCACGGAAAAUGACCUGUGGUUCAUCAAGGAUUUAAAGGUGUAUGACAUCACAAAGUUUGUGGAUCAACACCCGGGAGGUGUCGACACGCUUCUCAGCGUAGCGGGCAAGGAUGGCACGAGCGACUUCAACGCUGUUGGCCACUCAGAGAGCGCCGUGGAGGAGCUCGCACAGUACUACAUCGGUGACGUGCACCCAGACGAUGCGGAAAAGGUUCAGCAGGCCUCCAUUAAGGCAGCGAACAACUACUUCGGCAUCGCGGUGGUACUGGCGCUCGUUGCCAUUUGCUCGUUCUUUAUCUUUCGUCCUUGAAGGGGUCAGUGGCGCGUGCAGGGCAAUGUGUUGUCGGAAGAAAGAGGCAUGAGUCCGAGUAAAAGUGGGCAUGCGCAGUUUUCAGACAAGUGGUUCUUUGCUGCAUUGUUCGCCUCGCGUUCUUGCUUUCGCUUGAUGUGAAGGCGACACCAUGUACACUCCACCUCCCUUUCCGAUCCACUUCACACCCAUCUCUCCGCGCGCGGUUCCGUGAGAUAUGCUCCAAAAAGAAAACGAAAACCGCAACGGUGGACGAAAGACACGAGAAGCGCACAGCAGUGGAAACCGUGGGCGUUUCUGUGGGACUGCUCAUGCGUGUAUACGUUUCAGUGGCGCCUGCACAGACGCGCCAACGAAGAAACUGAUGAAAACAGGAAUGGCAACGGUCUUCGACAAGGAAGGGGCUGGGUUGCUAUGUUCCUGUCUGUAACAGAUGGGCGUGUGUGCACAUUGGCCCUU